rnacentral:lncRNA from 1 species
AAAAAAACAAAACAAAACAAAAUAACAACAACAACAACAACAAAAACCCAGAUCCUUUUUAUGUCCCUGGAUAUCUUGGAACUCACUAUGUAGACCAGGAUAGUCUUUUUUUUUUUUUUGUGCUCAUAUUUUAAUAAAAACGAUAUGGUUAUUUUAAAGAAAUGGGAAUACAAUUAUAAAAAAGAAAAUUAAAACAUUCUACCACAUAGGCAUAACAUAACAUUUGUUAUGUGAUUUUUCUUCUUCCUGUGGACAGACAUUAGGAUAUGCAUUUGCUCACAAUUAUACUAAAUGUGUAUUUUAUGUCACAGUUUUUUUUAAUUUAGAGAAUACUUUAUUAGUUUUUGUAAUCAAACCCACGUAUAUAAGACCUUACAUAUUUAAUACAGUGUGUUACCCCUGUACAAAUGGAAAAAACUUAAGUUCAACAUUUCUAGACCAAUAUGGCUGUUAAUUUCUGUACAGUGCCAACUCAACACAGUAAACGGGGAUACUUUUUUCGAAAGUUGACAGCACAGGUAAAGUUUCAAAAAAUUCAAAUUAUAUAUCUGUAUAUAUAUAUUUAUAUUUAUAUAAAAAGACCAAUAAUAGCAGUGUGUUAUGCAUCAACAGCAGCAACAGCUUUUCCAGGUUCUGCAGUCAUCUGAACAAAACUGUAGAGACAUCCAGCACACUCCAUUAAAA